GCUAACGUUGACAUUUAUUGAAAAAAACCUUCCUCCAAAUUAAACAAUGAACAUUUUAUAUGGACCCAAACAAGUCUUACUGAAACACUGAAUAUGGAACAAGCAAAGUCUAAUCCUAUACAAUAUACAGUCCACAGCAUAAAGAUAAGAGCAGGUAUAAAUUUAAAUAUAGAAUAUCAGAUAUUUUCAGAUUGAGCUUUUUUGAGUCCUUUCACUACUCGAAAUAUGCAUUUUUUGUUCAAGUCUUGAUAGUUCUUUAUAUUUCCUUUGAGGGCUAAAUUUGAUUAAAUAUUAUUUAAAAUGGUGACAAAAAGAUCAGAACUUCUUAAUUUAUCGUCUCCCAUAAUGCAAGUCACUUCUGCACCUUUUUGGCUCUGAAUGAACAAUUUUUCAUCAAUUCUGUCCCAUGCGUUAAUAAUUGCAUUUUUCAGAUCAGGUACUUUAAAACGUUCUCUAUGAUCCUUUAAAACGUACUGAGAGAACCUUUAAAAGGUUCCAGAAAAUGAAGCACCCAAACUAAACAGGUGGAAUUAAUUUACAGAAGAGUUGAUUCAAGAUGAAUGCAGUGAGCUUCUUCCUGCAUUGGAUCAACAAACAUCAGAAACAUUUCAGGACGUUUGAAGUAAUUCAGUAAAUAUUUCAGAGAUGAAACUUUUCCUCCUGCAGGAGAAACAGGAUUUCCUCUCCGCACAAAUCAGAUGUUUGCAGCUUUUUAUUAAAAGAGUAAAAAAAAGUCAGUUCUGAGGCUGACUGACCACCAAUCAGGUCACCUGAGUCCUGCAGCGACGAUCAGCUGAUGCAGCGAUGCUCCCUGAGGCUCCUACUGGCGGUGAAGCUGCGGCUGCAGACGUUGCAGCUGAACGGUUUGUGUCCACUGUGGACCAGCUGAUGUGUCUUCAGGUUGUUGUUCUGACUGAACCGUUUCCCGCAGACGUCGCAUUCGAACGGUUUCUCGCCGCUGUGGACACGUUUGUGUCUGACGAGGUUCUGUGACACACUGAAGCUCCGCCCACAGACCUCGCAGACGAAGGGCUUCUCUCCGCUGUGCGUGCGCAGGUGCAGCGCUGCGCUGGUCUGCGUGGAGAAGCUCUUGUCACACUGACUACAGCCGAACAGUUUCCCCUCCGAGUGGCUGCGGCGGUGCAUCUUCAGGUAGCUCAGCGAGCUGUAGCUCCGCCCACACACGUCGCAGGAGAAGGCCUUGCUGCCGGCGUGCAGCUGCAGGUGAGUCUUCAGCACCUGGCUGCUGCUGAAGCUUUUCCCGCACUCGUGGCAGGUGUGUGCUUUCUGGCUGUCGUGCACCUGCUGGUGGCGCCGCAGCGACAUGGAAGACGAGAAGGUUUUGGGACAGUUGCUGCAGCCGUACGGUUUGACGCCACCGUGGCUCCUCUCGUGCACCAGCAGCGCGCUGCGCUGUCUGAAGCCCUUCCCGCAGGCAUUGCAGAUGAAGGCCCAGCCUUCGCCAUGCAGCGCGCGGUGCACCUUCAGGUGUCCGGCCUGCGUAAAGCUGCGACCGCACACGUUGCAGCUGAAUGCCCGGUGACCCGAGUGGAUGAGCCGAUGCCGUCGCAGGUUAGCCGCCACGCUGAAGUUCUUGCUGCAGACGUCACAGCUGAAGGCCUUCUCGCCGGUGUGGACGCGCUGAUGCACCGUCAGGCUGCUGCUGCUGGAGAAGCUGCGGCCACAGUGUUCGCAAACGUGCGGGCGCUCGCCACUGUGUGUGCGCUGGUGCGCUCUGAGGCCGCUCUGCUGGGUGAACGACUUCCCGCAGACGCUGCAGUUGAAUGGCUUCAGGCCGCGGUGCACCGUCAGCUGGUGCACGUGGACGCUGCGACGCGCCGUGAAGCCUUUACCGCAGGUGGAGCAGGUGAAGGGUUUGUGGCUCAGGUGGACUCUGCGAUGCGCCGACAGGUAGCUGCGUUUGGAGAACUCCUUCCCGCAGUCUGUGCAGCUGAACUUCUCGCGGGCCUUCAGACAUGUCA
ensembl:lncRNA